rnacentral:rRNA from 1 species
UCGANGAAGUAGCAAUACUUAGUGGCAGACGGGUGAGUAACAUGUGGGUAUCUUCCCUUUGGUGAGGAAUAACACGAGGAAACUUGUGCUAAUACCUCAUAAGUCUUUACGGAGAAAGCUUUAUGCGCCAUUGGAUGAGCCUGCACUUGAUUAGUUUGUUGGUGGGGUAAUGGCCUACCAAGACAAUGAUCAAUAGCUGAUUUGAGAGGAUGAUCAGCCACAUUGGGACUGAGACACGGCCCAAACUUCUACGGAAGGCAGCAGUAGGGAAUCUUGCACAAUGGGGGAAACCCUGAUGCAGCGAUGCCGCGUGAGUGAAGAAGGCCUUUGGGUUGUAAAGCUCUUUCGUCGGGGAAGAAAAUGACUGUACCCGAAUAAGAAGGUCCGGCUAACUUCGUGCCAGCAGCCGCGGUAAUACGAAGGGACCUAGCGUAGUUCGGAAUUACUGGGCUUAAAGAGCACGUAGGUGGUUAGAAAAGUUGGUGGUGAAAUCCCAGGGCUUAACCCUGGAACUGCCACCAAAACUUUUUGACUAGAGUGUGAUAGAGGUAAGCGGAAUUUCUAGUGUAGAGGUGAAAUUCGUAGAUAUUAGAAAGAACGCCAAUUGCGAAGGCAGCUUUCUGGAUCAUUACUGACACUGAGGUGCGAAAGCAUGGGUAGCGAA